rnacentral:miRNA from 1 species
UUGAAAGAGGCACCAAAAAAUG